GAAAUGCGAUAAGUAAUGUGAAUUGCAGAAUUCAGUGAAUCAUCGAAUCUUUGAACGCACAUUGCGCCCGCCAGUAUUCUGGCGGGCAUGCCUGUUCGAGCGUCAUUUCAACCAUCAAGCCUCGCGCUUGUGUUGGGGACCUGCGGCUGCCGCAGGCCCUGAAAACCAGUGGCGGGCUCGCUGUCACACCGGGCGUAGUAGAUUUUAUCUCGCUCAGGGCGUGCUGCGGGUUCCGGCCGUUAAAAAGCCUUUUUUACCCAAGGUUGACCUCGGAUCAGGUAGGAAGACCCGCUGAACUUAAGC
rnacentral:misc_RNA from 1 species